rnacentral:rRNA from 1 species
GACGUAGGGCGCGAGCGUUGUCCGGAUUUAUUGGGCGUAAAGAGCUCGUAGGCGGCUUGUCGCGUCGAAUGUGAAAUCUCAGGGCUCAACUCUGACAUUGCAUUCGAUACGGGCAGGCUAGAGUUCGGUAGGGGAGACUGGAAUUCCUGGUGUAGCGGUGAAAUGCGCAGAUAUCAGGAGGAACACCGGUGGCGAAGGCGGGUCUCUGGGCAUUAACUGACGCUGAGGAGCGAAAGCAUGGGGAGCGAACAGG